GUUCUUGCUGACGCGCUUCUUGAAUGUGUCAGCAAAAGGAGAGAACUUCUCGUACGUGGGCGCAGGUUAAAGAAACAACCGUCCUCACAGAACCGUCUCCCUGCGCUCCCAGGCUUGCCUCUCUGUUGGGAUCAACCCAAGCUUCCUGUGACCGCUGAAACGCUGAAGGCUGCAUCGCUGAGCUCAGGCAGAGAAAGCUUCAGAGGCUGCCUGCACAUCUACCCUUCAAACACCUGGCUACUUCCUCCCUGAGGCCGUGGGUUCCACCUUGAGGGUCACG